rnacentral:rRNA from 1 species
GGACCCGCACAAGUAGUGGAGCAUGUGGUUUAAUUCGAAGAUACGCGCAGAACCUUACCAACACUUGACAUGUUCGUCGCGACUCUGAGAGAUCAGAGUUUUCGGUUCGGCCGGACGAAACACAGGUGCUGCAUGGCUGUCGUCAGCUCGUGUCGUGAGAUGUUGGGUUAAGUCCCGCAACGAGCGCAACCCUCACUUUUAGUUGCCAUCAUUAAGUUGGGCACUCUGAAAGAACUGCCAGUGAUAAGCUGGAGGAAGGUAGGGAUGACGUCAAGUCCUCAUGGCCCUUACGUGUUGGGCUACACACGUGCUACAAUGGUAUCUACAACAGGAAGCAAAACGGCAACGUUAAGCAAAUCCCGAAAAGAUACCUCAGUUCGGAUUGCACUCUGCAACUCGAGUGCAUGAAGCUGGAAUU